rnacentral:rRNA from 1 species
AGAGGUGACAAACGUUGAUCCGGAAUUAUUGGGCGUAAAGGGCGCGUAGGUGGUUGAGUAAGUCAGGUGUGAAAGCUCUGGGCUUAACCCAGGAAUUGCAUCUGAUACUGCUCGGCUUGAGUACGGUAGAGGAGGGUGGAAUUCCCAGUGUAGCGGUGAAGUGCGUAGAUAUUGGGAGGAACACCGGUGGCGAAGGCGGCCCUCUGGACCGAAACUGACACUGAAGCGCGAAAGCUAGGGGAGCAAACGGGAUUAGAUACCCCGGUAGUCCUAGCCUUAAACGAUGAGUACUAGGUGUAGGAGGUAUUGACCCCUUCUGUGCCGCAGCUAACGCAUUAAGUACUCCGCCUGGGAACUACGACCGCAAGGUUG